CCUACGGGAGGCAGCAGUGAGGAAUAUUGGUCAAUGGACGGAGGUCUGAACCAGCCAAGUAGCGUGCAGGAUUGACGGCCCUAUGGGUUGUAAACUGCUUUUGUUGGGGAGUAAAGCGGGGCACGCGUGCCCCUUUGCAUUUACCCUUCGAAUAAGGACCGGCUAAUUCCGUGCCAGCAGCCGCGGUAAUACGGAAGGUCCAGGCGUUAUCCGGAUUUAUUGGGUUUAAAGGGAGUGUAGGCGGUCUGUUAAGCGUGUUGUGAAAUUUAGGUGCUCAACAUCUAACUUGCAGCGCGAACUGGCGGACUUGAGUGCACGCAACGUAUGCGGAAUUCAUGGUGUAGCGGUGAAAUGCUUAGAUAUCAUGACGAACUCCGAUUGCGAAGGCAGCGUACGGGAGUGUUACUGACGCUUAAGCUCGAAGGUGCGGGUAUCGAACAGGAUUAGAUACCCUUGUAGUC
rnacentral:rRNA from 1 species